ACAUGCCCUGUGAUGCAUGUCCCCUGAGGACUAGGAAAUGGUACAGCCCUAGAAGAGCCCCAGGGAGCCACCCUUUCAGCCUUGCCUCAUGUCUCUAGGAGGGCAUGGCCUGCUUGAAGCUCCAAUCCCAUGGGAAGUAGGGACAGGAAAAGCUUCCCUGGGUAGGAGCUUCCUUCCCUUCCUUGUUGCUUUUCUCUUACCUUUGAGCCCAGGAGUGAGAGGCCAAGUCGGCGAGAUGGAAAGAGCCGUUCACAGGUCUAGAGUUUUGCGUAAGCGAGCGAGAAAGCGCCCUCAUUUGUCCAAGUCUUGUCUGCAGUUGGGGUGUUAGGAACAUCUCCACUGGCGGGGACUAGGGUUCGCUUUCCACUCUGAUGAGAGAAUGGCAUGCCCACGUGUGGAGGGGAUGAGCUCUGAGUUAGACAUUUUCCCUAUGGGAAUCCUCUUGGUUUGGUUUGUGGGGCGAGGGGAGUGGAUAUGUGGUUUUUAUUUGUAGUCAUCAACACAGCUGUCCUUACACUGAACCUGUGCUAUUGCAUACAUGUAGCCAUCUUUCUUUUCACUGCAGCAGUGUUUAUCGGUAGUUCAAAACGAUUUAUUUGCUCCUGGGGAGUAAAAACCUUUUUUAUUAAAAAAG
rnacentral:lncRNA from 1 species